CAGGGAACACAGUUCACGCGGGAUUUGUAGAACGGGACCUGGCGGCUACUUACAACAACAGACUAUUGCAAGCUAGCAUCGGCACUGCUCUAGAAGUGUUUGUUCAGCGGGUCAGCAGGGGAGAUACAAGCUGCCGUGGAUUGGGGUUUGCACGUGUAUGGAGCCGUGCACUCCGGCGCCAAGAGAGAGUCGCUACUGUUGUUUUGUAUGUUUUGCUAUAUUAUGCUGUUUAAAGAAAAGCACACUGUUAUUUGUGGACACUGUUCCAAAGUAUUUUCUUAAUUUGACCCAUUAAGGCUGUGCUCCAGGAGUGCAGUCGGGGGAAAUAAAGAACCCACAUUAAAGAAAAAUAAAUUUAUCUUAGUGUCCUGUCUCAUCCUUUUAAUCAGGCAACACUAAUUUUGGUGUCAGAAGUGGGAUCCCCGUCAAAUUUAUAGAUCAUAGUUGGACAGGGAUAAUACAUAUAAAACAACAGUAGUGGCUAAGAGGCCUCCAGAUUCAGGAUCAGAGAGGGUGACUACUGCCGUGAGGUGUCCCAGAAGCAGCAGGGUGGCGUGUGGUCAGGGCCCCCGGACGAGGGCAGCUGCAUUGUUGCUGUAGACUGCGUGAAGAGAGGACCACGGGAAGUUGCCUUCUGAGAAGCUGCUGGACUGAGAAGCAUCACGACUGUCAACGUGCUGCA